GGAGCUCCUGGGGGUCCUUCCCCCAGCUGCAGCCAAGUAGCUUUGAUUUCCGACAGCUCUGAGCCAUCGGGGAGGGUGGAGAGCUCGUUUCUGCUUUAAUUGCGGCCAGGUUUGAUGGCAGCAGGAGCUGCACGUGUGUAAACACAGCAUCGCUUCGGCAGGGGGGAAGGGUACAGCCUGUCCUGGGCUGCAGAGACGCCCUGCAUCUGGCUACACUGGACCUCAGCUGCCGAGAUCAGUCCCGAGCAACGGUGAGACCAAAGGCAUGAAGAUGAGCCUGAUUGACGUGGAUCCAUUUGCCUGAUGUCACACGUGACGGCGUCGAUGAUGCUGUCCCAUGCAGGUGGUGGUGCCGGUGGUCCCAGCCCCACGGUGCAGCCAUGGUUACAGCUGCAGUAGCCGUCUCUGAUGGGUCUCCAAGAAACCCCUGAAGACCAACGAUGUUUUUGGCUGAUAAAUGUGGGAAAAAUGCCAUGCCCGUGGUUUGCUUUGUCUUGGAAUCUUCAAAUCAAACCAAAGGUUCGGGACAUCCUCCAGAUCACCGUAACGGCUGUAACAGCUGCCCAGGCAGCCUGGCCAUCUACCGGAGUCUCACACCCUGGCCACCUCCCUUUCUGCAGCCUCUUGGGGAUGUACUUGAGCAUCGUCCUCAAGCACGGGACCUCUGCCUACAGCCUCGUCCCAGGUGUCAUUUGCUCACUCCCACUUUCUCUGUUGCCUGUAAGAAGCUACAAGCCACGGACACAAACGGUUCAGAGGCAGAUUUGUAGAAAGAUGCUUUUUGUAGGUCAGUGCCACGAGGAUGAUGGCUGGGGUGCCAGCUACCGAGAUGAAAGAUGAAGCUCUGGUUCCCUUUGACCUGAGCCGAGCAGCACACUCAGCUUGCCCUCUGGGUGGAGAGGUGGCACGUAUGGAUUUUGAUAACUUUCUUCUGUUUAGAGGUCAUUUUCCACUUUAAAUAUUCAUGUUCUGAGGGACAUUAAAUAAAUAAUGCUGAACUUGUUAAGCUGAG